GCGCUGGACCGUGCACAAGUCUCCUGGAAUGGAGCGUCAUAGAGGGUGAGAAUCCCGUCUUUGGCAUGGAUCCCAGGGCUUCUGUGAUGCGCUCUCGACGAGUCGAGUUGUUUGGGAAUGCAGCUCAAAAUGGGUGGUGAACUCCAUCUAAAGCUAAAUAUUGGCGAGAGACCGAUAGCGAACAAGUACCGUGAGGGAAAGAUGAAAAGCACUUUGGAAAGAGAGUGAAACAGUACGUGAAAUUGUUGAAAGGGAAACGCUUGAAGUCAGUCGCGUUGACCGAGACUCAACCUUGCUUUGGCUUGGUGUAUUUCUCGGCUGACGGGUCAGCAUCAAUUUUGACGCUCAGAUAAUGGCAAGGGAAAGGUGGCACCUUUUAGGUGUGUUAUAGUCCCAUGUCGCAUGUGAGGGUUGGGAUUGAGGAACUCAGCAUGCACCUCUGGGUGUCGGGGCUUUGGCCCACGUUACAUGCUUAGGAUGCUGGCGUAAUGGCUUUAAACGACCCGUCUUGAAACACGGACCAAGGAGUCUAACAUACCCGCGAGUGUUCGGGUGGAAAACCCGUGCGCGUAAUGAAAGUAAAAGUUGGGACCUCUGUCGUGGAGGGCACCGACGCCCGGACCAGACCUUCUGUGACGGCUCUGCGGUAGAGCGUGUAUGUUGGGACCCGAAAGAUGGUGAACUAUGCCUGAAUAGGGUGAAGCCAGAGGAAACUCUGGUGGAGGCUCGUAGCGAUUCUGACGUGCAAAUCGAUCGUCAAAUUUGGGUAUAGGGGCGAAAGA
rnacentral:rRNA from 1 species